rnacentral:rRNA from 1 species
UACGUAGGGUCCAAGCGUUAUCCGGAAUUACUGGGCGUAAAGAGUUGCUUAGGUGGCAUAGUAGGCGGAUGGUGAAAUGACGUGGCUCAACCAUGUGUCCAUUAUCUGAACUGCUAAGCUAGAGAACGAGAGAGGUUAUUGGAAUUCCCAGUGUAGGAGUGAAAUCCGUAGAUAUUGGGAGGAACACCGAUGGCGAAGGCAGAUAACUGGCUCGUUUCUGACACUAAGGCACGAAAGCGUGGGGAGCAAACGGG